UCUGCUGUCUAUAUGACUUUCCCAUUUAAGUCUUUUAACAAGGGGUGAAGAUUUUUAAUACACAAAAGACUGCACAUAUCCAUAAUUAUUUUCUUAGAAUAGACUAUUGCAGGUAGAAUUUCUUGGCUAAAAGGCUUAAAUACUGUGAAGACCACUGGCAGUAUCCUUAUACAUGGAACACCUUUUCUAAAUUAAGAAAAGAUGGGUUAAAACCGAAACCUCAUUACUACUCAAUUCUAGUCUCUGUCCCGUGGGUUCCCUUUACAGCUCGUCUCCGGUUCAGAUUGUGACAGAUUCGUGAAGAUGUGGCUCUUGCAGGAUGGACAGCUGACUUCAGUGGUUUGAUUCCUAUCCAAAGCAAUGAGGCAUCACUUGGCGAGGCUCUCCUCUCUAAUCCACACACAUCUUUGCGGUUCUGUAGUCUGGGCUGGGUUCAACAGAAGGCUCCUCAAACAAGAAUCCACACAGAACCUCAGGGAGCAGCACAGAUCCUAAUAGCAGGGGAAGCCAAGCCAUCUAGAAGAGGAUGACUCUCCUCCGUGUGAGAGCCGAUGAGGGCCUGGAGAUGGGGGAGAGGGCACGCAAAUCACCCCUCUGGAGAGACGGAGCAGAAAAGACGUCUGUGGGCCGCAGUAGGCUCCAUUCUGGCCCCAACACCAAACAGAGAUCUCACUUGGAGAUUUAGCCUCAACAGGCUGACGUGAGACUGAGGGUCACCCUCCCUGGAAGUUUGUCCUCCUUUUAGAUAUCUGAGCAACUGAGGAAAAUCCCUGGGAACUGCUCUCCUGGUCAGGAUUCAUACUUGAUUUCUGAACCACGGAUGAGGUGGAGGGAGGAGGAAAGAACUCCCUCUGUGACUUCCUCAAAACACAUCAGCCCAGAAACUGGAGACAGAGCGAUUUCCUUGUUAAUCUAAUCAGCUCUAGACAAGAAAACUAGACGAUUCUACGGAGAAAGGGCCCCUCUGGUAGUUCAAUUAUCUCGUUGGCUGUCUACAUCCAUCAAAUUAAUUCAAGAUUUUCAAAAGUCUUAUUUCAUAUUAUUUUAUAUGAACAUCGCUGUGGCAGAGUCAGCAGCGGAGGACCCAAGGCUCCCAAUCACCAUCUCAAAAUCGUCUGACAGCAGGAGUGCUCACUCCUUCCGACAGAGGACACUGGGAGUGACAGGUGCCACCACUGCCCCGUUCAUGGGCUGGCGCUUCAGUAGGAAAUGGGACGGUCUGAACUGCUUUGAGUGGGGUUUGCAGUUCCCCAACUGAAAAAUACGUGACGUGAGGGCGCCUGGCAGCUGAUGAGAGAAAAGGCAUACGGAGAUAAAUUUGCCUACACCGCUGUGUUUGAAGAGGCAAUUAAAGGGUGAGCACAAAGCGGCAACAACCAUAUUUAAAAAAAAUAAAACCAAACCCCAAAACAACCCACUAACUUCAUCAGUGAGAUUAACACAAGCUCCCCCUCCCCCCCCUUUUAAAACCUAUUGACAGUGCAAUGCUUACUGAAUUCUUUCCAGUGUGGGAGAGCAUUUAAGACAGCAGAUGCUGGUGGGAGGGGAGAUUGCAACAUUCUUUCACAAAGUAAUCCGGACUCCCGUUUCAGAUACUUUUAGAAACUAGUACACUAUAUGGUCCUACAAGUCCCACUUCCAGGAAUGUGUGCUAUCAAAACAAAUAUACACAAAAGCCUGUGCAAAGACGGUCUUUAUCAUGAUGCUCAUUAUAGUCGAAGUUGUAAAAACCACAUGGGCAUACUAUCCUACAAAGGAAUACGAAGUGAUCACUACAGUGUAGGGGUACCUUGAUAUGGAGACAUAUUUCAUAACUUGUUACUAAUGG